CGCGAAGACACGGCAGGGUCACGGCACACGCAGCGCUACACAACACAACACAAAUAUAAACAUAAACAAAUUAUAGUAAAGUAGAAACAAGAGAGGAGGAAGUAAACACGAGUAAUAGUAGGGACGAGGAUAAACAGAAAACGCGUUGAACGAAGAAGUUGGAGGUUUCCACGAGCAGGAGAGUGUUUAGUGAUUGUGGCUAACGAAGGACAGUUUUAGUGCACAACAGUUAGAACGGGGCAUGCAGACGUGUUCACGAGUUGGUUAGACGAUCACAAUAAAUCCAGGUGAGACGUAAACAAACACUCCAGCGAAGGGGAACAGAUUAAAAACUCCUAAAUCUACUAGUACGGACUUCGAAACGGGUCGGCCAGGACGAGACAGUUCGGACAGGACGGAUUGAACAGUACAGUACAGUGGAGAACAGGUAACACGUAAUUUACUACCAAAGUGAACAAUGACAAUUAACACUCAUUGAAACACAGAACCGCGCGACAGGCAACAUAAACUAAAAGCGCCCGGCAAAGAGGUGCAGUCGUCACCGCUGGGGUAAUUUGUUGCCAGUGUCGAAGGCGGAGCGAGAAGGUUUCGGUACAAAACGGUACAAAAACAAACCAAUCAAUUUUGAUCUGCAUUAGCUGAUACAAAAUCUGGUUUUAUUUGCCACCGUCCG